UUGAACGCUGGCGGCAUGCCUUACACAUGCAAGUCGAGCGGCAGCGCGGGGGCAACCCUGGCGGCGAGCGGCGGACGGGUGAGUAAUACAUCGGAACGUGUCCUGUCGUGGGGGAUAACCAGUCGAAAGAUUGGCUAAUACCGCAUGAGAUCGAGAGAUGAAAGCGGGGGACCGCAAGGCCUCGCGCGAUUGGAGCGGCCGAUGUCGGAUUAGCUAGUUGGCGGGGUAACAGCCCACAAAGGCGACGAUCCGUAGCUGGUUUGAGAGAACGACCAGCCACACUGGGACUGAGACACGGCCCAGACUCCUACGGGAGGCAGCAGUGGGGAAUUUUGGACAAUGGGCGCAAGCCUGAUCCAGCCAUGCCGCGUGUGUGAAGAAGGCCUUCGGGUUGUAAAGCACUUUCAGACGGAACGAAAUCGCGCGGACGAACAGCCCGCGUGGAUGACGGUACCGUAAGAAGAAGCACCGGCUAACUACGU
rnacentral:rRNA from 1 species